UACGUAGGGCGCGAGCGUUGUCCGGAUUUAUUGGGCGUAAAGAGCUCGUAGGCGGUUUGUCGCGUCUGCUGUGAAAUCCCGAGGCUCAACCUCGGGCCUGCAGUGGGUACGGGCAGACUAGAGUGCGGUAGGGGAGACUGGAAUUCCCGGUGUAGCGGAGGAAUGCGCAGAUAUCAGGAGGAACACCGAUGGCGAAGGCAGGUCUCUGGGCCGCAACUGACGCUGAGGAGCGAAAGCAGGGGGAGCGAACAGG
rnacentral:misc_RNA from 1 species